rnacentral:sRNA from 1 species
ACCAGAGGAACGAAUGCUAAGUGCGCCACAUCGUGUGGCAACGCCUUCGUGACCAACAUCCUGUUGG